rnacentral:rRNA from 1 species
UACGUAGGGUGCAAGCGUUAAUCGGAAUUACUGGGCGUAAAGCGUGCGCAGGCGGUUUUGUAAGUCUGACGUGAAAUCCCCGGGCUCAACCUGGGAAUUGCGAUGGAGACUGCAAGGCUUGAAUCUGGCAGAGGGGGGUAGAAUUCCACGUGUAGCAGUGAAAUGCGUAGAGAUGUGGAGGAACACCGAUGGCGAAGGCGGCCCCCUGGGUCAAGAUUGACGCUCAUGCACGAAAGCGUGGGGAGCAAACAGG